GGAUGCGAUCAUACCAAAACUAAAGCAUCGGAUCCCAUCUGAACACCGGAGUUAUGUGUGCUUGGGUGAGAGUGGUACUAGGAUGGGUGACCUCCUGGGAAGUCCUUGUGUGGCAUUCC
rfam:Triticum aestivum genome assembly, contig: Triticum_aestivum_CS42_TGACv1_scaffold_050051_1BS